rnacentral:rRNA from 1 species
UACCAGACUCCUACGGGAGGCAGCAGUGGGGAAUAUUGGGCAAUGGGCGCAAGCCUGACCCAGCAACGCCGCGUGAAGGAAGAAGGCUUUCGGGUUGUAAACUUCUUUUAUUCGGGACGAAGAAAGUGACGGUACCGAAUGAAUAAGCCACGGCUAACUACGUGCCAGCAGCCGCGGUAAUACGUAGGUGGCAAGCGUUAUCCGGAUUUAUUGGGUGUAAAGGGCGUGUAGGCGGGAAUGCAAGUCAGAUGUGAAAUCCGGAGGCUCAACCUCCGAAUUGCAUUUGAAACUGUUUUUCUUGAGUACUGGAGAGGCAGACGGAAUUCCUUGUGUAGCGGUGAAAUGCGUAGAUAUAAGGAGGAACACCAGUGGCGAAGGCGGUCUGCUGGACAGCAACUGGCGGUGAGGCGCGAAAGCGUGGGGAGCAAACAGGAUUAGAUACCCCAGUACG